UUGUGACGUAAAAAAGGUUAGUCAAAAUUUUAACAACUAAUGCUGAGUACAUAACAGCGGAGGUCGUUUUGAGGGAUUUAUGUGCAGUUUUGGAGGAAGGAGGCAGAUGGUAGUGAUGAAGAAGAGGGAGCUGGUUCAAGUGAAGUACGGCAGCCAUGUUUUUGGAGCCAUAUUGUUCAGGAAGCAAAGAUGACUCCAACUUUACUGGGGAAGACAGGACAGUGAAUGUUUGGAGCUGGAAAUCUGUCGCCUCCGAAUCACUGAAUGAUUAGCAACGUGAGAUGGCUGACCCCUUCCCUUUCGUCCAUUGACCACUUAAGAUGGACCAUAGCAUGAGACCAUUAGACGAGGAUGGAUGGCCACAGGAGGACCACAGGUAUCAGCAUGGUAUGGACAGUUUGAACAUAUGUCAUGUUUGGACUGGUAUUGUCCAUUCUUGCCCUACAAGAGAAGACUCCUUCCCCAGUCCUCAACCUACCCAGCAGGUUUUAGAUGCCUCCCUACUCCAACACAAUGAAAUGACUGGAUUUCCUCUUCAGCAUGCCAUCAAGUUUGGCAAAGACCUGCAAUGAGUUUAACGAGGAGAGCAGUCCUUGAAGCAAUAUCCUAAGUGGCACUUCAUCCCUGUCUCCUUCCCCAGCACCCGCCUCCCUGUAUCUCACCUCCUCAUCCUUCACAAGGUUUCUGAUUGUCAAGUGGCAGAGGAUGCUUCAGUUUAAGCGUGCAGACUUGAGAGCGAGAGGACGGGGGGAAAAAAAGGCAGCCCUGAAUCACCCGCCACCGUCUGCGAGCUAAAAAUUACCCUGUGAGACAGAGGUUUGGAGAACUUCAUUUCCUUGUUCAUAAUUAAACUCCUCAACCUUAAUCUGACCGUACCUUUCUCCUGCUGGGGGCUUCCUGCAGUGCUUAUUGAGCCCUACUUAUUACGUGGAUUAGAAUCUAUCUUCCACUUCAACAGUGGGUCACCCUAUUCAAUUAUUUCAGCCAUUCAUGGCCGACUAGAUGAUGAAAGAUCCUUGAGAUUCUGGUUCGUUCCCAACGCAGACGGUUCAUGGGAGGUGACUGGAUUUUCUGAGAGACAGUAUCUGCCGGGUGCGACAUUACUGGAGGCGUGCUGGGAUGAAAAGAGUAGCCAUAAAAAAGUGAGGCGUUUCAAAGGAGUUCUCAUCUGUCCUGCACUGUGCUCUGCGCACCACUGGGAGGCAGUCCUGAGCCACCGCUCCUCUCCUCUGCUUCCUUUCCCCACACUCAGCCACCCACUGCUGCUCUGAGGGUGCUGUUUGUUCUGUUUUCUCCUCACUCAGUCCUCACACUGAGAUACAGAGCUUCUUCUUGUCUUGCUGUCAAAACAGAAAAAGAUCUGAGUGAAAUAUUUAAAG